UAAUAUCUAUCCAUCUCCGGGAAAAAAAAAACUCCGUGGCUUAUGGUCGUCUCCGAUAACCACUCUCUGGGAGAUAAAUCAAAUUGGCUCACUCUCUUUGUGUAAUUUGUUCUUUCUGUAAGCAGAGAGAAGCUCAGAUUCUCUUUGUGUAUUUGCUUUCCUUUUUUAAUUAUUGAUUCCAUGUUUCUCUUUCCCAAUCGUUAGCUGCUUGUGGUGGAUCCGUAUUGCUGAUUUGCAAAGGGAAGCAGAGCUGGUGUGAUGAAUGUUAAUGAGGAGGGUGAGGGUUCGCGUUACCCAGUCACUGAUCAGAAGCCCGUUGAGACGAAAGAGAGGCUUAGUGGAGAAGAUAAAGCUAAUGGAAUCGUUAUGGAUGUGAGAAACGGGAGUGCAGUGGGCUCAGGUGGACUGCAAAUUCCAAUUUCGCAGCAAACACCGGCCACUGUUUGUUGGGAAAGGUUUCUUCAUGUGAGAACCAUAAGAGUGUUGCUGGUGGAGAAUGAUGACUGUACUCGUUAUAUCGUUACCGCGCUUCUUCGUAAUUGUAGCUAUGAAGUUGUUGAGGUAGCUAAUGGUGUACAAGCUUGGAAGGUGUUGGAAGAUCUAAACAAUCAUAUUGAUAUUGUGUUGACGGAGGUAGUCAUGCCUUACUUAUCUGGUAUUGGCCUCUUAUGCAAGAUUCUGAAUCACAAAUCCCGUCGGAACAUCCCUGUCAUUAUGAUGUCAUCUCAUGACUCAAUGGGGCUGGUCUUUAAGUGCUUAUCAAAAGGAGCAGUUGACUUUCUCGUUAAGCCCAUAAGAAAAAACGAGCUUAAAAUCCUUUGGCAACAUGUUUGGAGAAGAUGUCAGAGUUCUAGCGGCAGUGGAAGUGAAAGCGGAACUCAUCAAACUCAAAAGUCUGUGAAAUCAAAGAAUGUUAUAAAAUCUGACAACGAUUCAGGACGCAGUGGUGAGAAUGAAAAUGAGAGCGAUGGCCUGAAUGCUAGUGAUGGAAGUAGUGAUGGCAGUGGUGCUCAGAGCUCUUGGACGAAAAAAGCUGUGGAGGUUGAUGAUGACAGUCCACGAGCGGUAUCUCCAUGGGAUCGAGUUGAUAGCACUUGCGCACAAGUGGUACAUUCCAACCCCGAGGUUCCCGGUAAUCACUUGAUCGCAGCACCUGCUGAGAAGGAGACUCAAGAGCAAGAUGAAAAAUUUGAAGAUAUCACAAUGGGUAGAGACUUGGAGAUUAGUAUUCAUGGAAAUUGUGAUCUGACACUGGAGCCAAAAGAUGAACCCUUAACCAAAAGCACUGGCGUUGGAAAAGGACCUUUGGACCUCAAUAGUGAAAGCCGUUCAAGUAAACAAAUGCAUGAAGAUGGAGGCUCAGGCUUCAAAGCUAUUUCUAGCCACCUUCAAGAUAACAGAGAGCAUGAGGCGCCUAACACACACUGUAAAACUGUAGACACCAAUGAAGCUGCCAUUAAAAACCCCGAAGAGCCAAUGCACGUUGAACAUAGUUCAAAGAGGCAUAGAGGAGCUAAAGAUGAUGAGACGAUAGUUAGAGAUGACCGCAAUGUGCUGAGGCGUUCAGAGGGUUCAGCUUUCUCAAGGUAUAAUCCAGCCUUAAACAACAGUAAGCUUUCUGGCGGGAACUUGGGAAGCAAUUCUCGUCAUGAUAAUAAUUGCCAAGAUCUUAACAAAAGGACUGAAGCGGCAUGUGAUUGUCACUCAAACAUGAACGAGAGUCUCCCUAGCAAUCAUCACUCCCGCGUCGGUAGCAAUAACGUGGAAAUGAGUUCCACAACUGUGAACAACGCUUUCACAAAGCCGGGAGCUCCGAAAGUAAGCCCGGCAGGAUCUUCAUCAGCAAAGCGUUCAUUGUUUCAGCCUCUACCGUGUGAUCAUCAUCACUCCUCUCAUAAUCUUGUUCACGUUCCUGAGCGGAAGUUACCACCACAAUAUGGAUCGUCAAAUGUAUACAAUGAGACGGUUGAAGGUAACAACAACAACACUGUGAAUUACAGUGUGAAUGGAAGCGGGUCUGGUAGUGGUCAUGGAAGCAAUGACCCAUAUGGAAGCAGUAAUGGCAUGAAUGCUGGAGGAUUGAACAUGGGAAGUGAAAAUGGUGCUGGCAAAAGCGGGAGUGGUGAUGGUAGUGGAAGUGGAAGUGGAAGUGGGAAUGUGGCAGAUGAGAAUAAGAUCUCUCAAAGAGAAGCUGCUUUGACAAAGUUCCGUCAGAAGAGAAAGGAGAGGUGCUUCAGAAAGAAGGUGCGAUACCAAAGCCGGAAAAAACUAGCGGAACAACGACCUCGUGUCCGUGGCCAGUUCGUCCGAAAAACAGCUGCUGCAACGGAUGAUAACGACAUAAAAACGCCGAGGGAUAGCUAACGGGGAAAACUGCUAAAACAACACUUGUCAGCAGGAAGAAAGAAAAAACUUGUAAGGUUCUCAUCAUCCAUGUUGGGAUCUAUCUAUCAGUCUAUAUAUCACUUCUUUUUAACAAUUUUUCUUUACCCUCAAAAGUGUGAUUCUUUGAUACUACUACACUAGUAUUCCACGAACACACACGACAGACAAAUUGAUUGUUUGUUAUUUUGUCGUCGUAUAGUGUGGUUUGUGGAUUCAGGACAGGAUUUGGUUCAUGAGUUGGAGAGUGUGGUUGUAGAUGUUGUAAACUUCUGUAAAACAAUAACCCACUGUUUGUUUGUAUAAGCUAUAUUGGUUUUGGAGCAUAUAUAUUGUAGUUUACUGAUA